rnacentral:rRNA from 1 species
AUUGAACGCUGGCGGAAUGCUUUACACAUGCAAGUCGAACGGUAGAGGGGGCAACCCCUCGAGAGUGGCGAACGGGUGAGUAAUAUAUCGGAACGUGCCCAGUCGUGGGGGAUAACGUAGCGAAAGUUACGCUAAUACCGCAUACGAUCUAAGGAUGAAAGCGGGGGAUCGCAAGACCUCGCGCGAUUGGAGCGGCCGAUAUCAGAUUAGGUAGUUGGUGGGGUAAAGGCCCACCAAGCCAACGAUCUGUAGCUGGUCUGAGAGGACGACCAGCCACACUGGAACUGAGACACGGUCCAGACUCCUACGGGAGGCAGCAGAGGGGAAUUUUGGACAAUGGACGCAAGUCUGAUCCAGCCAUUCCGCGUGCAGGAUGAAGGCCCUCGGGUUGUAAACUGCUUUUGUACGGAACGAAAAGGUCUCUCUUAAUACGGGGGACUCAUGACGGUACCGUAAGAAUAAGCACCGGCUAACUACGUGCCAGCCGCCGCGGUAACAC